rnacentral:tRNA from 1 species
CCGCCAUUAGCUCAUCAGGAAAGAGCGCCAGCCUUCGAAGCUGGCUGUGCGGGGUUCAAGUCCCCGAUGGCGGUCCA